rfam:Sus scrofa isolate TJ Tabasco breed Duroc chromosome 4, whole genome shotgun sequence.
UCCCUGGUGGCCUAGUGGUUAGGACUCAGUACUUUUACCACUGCAGCCUGGGUUCAAUCCCUGGUCUGGGAA